GAUGAACGCUAGCUACAGGCUUAACACAUGCAAGUCGAGGGGUAACGAGAGGAAAGCUUGCUUUCCUUGUCGACGACCGGCGCACGGGUGAGUAACGCGUAUCCAACCUGCCCCCAACUAGGGAAUAACCUUGCGAAAGUAAGACUAAUACCCUAUAAUUUCCUCAGAUGACAUCUGACGAGGAAUAAAGAUUUAUCGGUUGUGGCGGGGGAUGCGUCUGAUUAGCUUGUUGGCGAGGUAACGGCCCACCAAGGCAACGAUCAGUAGGGGUUCUGAGAGGAAGGUACCCCACAUUGGAACUGAGACACGGUCCAAACUCCUACGGGAGGCAGCAGUGAGGAAUAUUGGUCAAUGGGCGGAAGCCUGAACCAGCCAAGUAGCGUGCAGGAUGACGGCCCUAUGGGUUGUAAACUGCUUUUAUACAGGAAUAAAGUUAGCCACGUGUGGUUAUUUGUAGGUACUGUAUGAAUAAGGACCGGCUAAUUCCGUGCCAGCAGCCGCUGUAA
rnacentral:rRNA from 1 species